AAAAUUAUAAUAUUUAACUUUUGAUAAAGUUAUAAUAUUUCUAAUUUCUUGAAACAUUUUAAAGUUUCAAUUCUUUAAAAUAAAAAAUCUGAGUAAAAUUGGAUAACUAUUUUAAUUUUGGACGCCUGAUAAAUCAAGCUUCCUGCUCAUUUGUAAUCAGAAUCAUUUUGGUCCUUUUAUAAUAUGGGUCUGAACCAUUGUCCAAUUUUUCUAAGAGAUGUGGGACAUUGUACACAUAUUAUUUCUUCAUAGGUUGAAUAAUAUAUGUCCGUUUUAAAAAAUUUGAAUUACAUCAUAUUCAGAGAAAAAUAUAAUAUUUGAUUAACUAUAGAUAUUUUAUAUAAAUUCAAAAUAAAUAAAGUAUAAGAUCAAAUAAAAAUGAAAGAAGAAUUAUAUAUUUAUGUUUAAAUUAUGUAGAAAUAUUUUAGGAAAUUAGUUAAGGUAAAUAAGAAAUAUGGUUAGUUUAGAGAUAUUGUUUAUAUUAAAUUUGGUAAUUAAAUUAUUAAUUUUCGUUUUUAAUUAUUAGUUUUUAGGUAACUUUUCCAAAAAUUAAUGUUAUCCAAGAUCAGAACAGAAUUAAACAUGUUAUCCAGGAUCCGAACAGAGUUAAACCGGGUAAAACCCAUCCAUUUGAAUUAAUUGUUGAAUUAUGGCUCAAAUCUUCAAUAUUAUGUUCAAAAACCUCCUACAAAAAUGUAUAUAUAGAUUUAAUUAUAAUGCAUAAUAU
rnacentral:sRNA from 1 species